rnacentral:rRNA from 1 species
UCUUUAUAAUAUUUAAUUUUAUUUUAUAUAAUUUAUAUGUAUAAGUUAAUGUUGAAAAUUAUUUUAUUGGGGUGAUAUAAAAAUUUAUUUAACUUUUUAUAAAAUUUUAUUUUAAUUUUUAGUAAUAUAAAAGUAAUGAUCUAUUAUUAUAAUUUAAAGAAUAAGA